CGAACGCUGGCGGCGUGCUUAACACAUGCAAGUCGAGCAAUGAAGUUUCUUCGGAAAUGGAUUAGCGGCGAACGGGUGAGGAACACGUGAAGAAUCUGCCCUCCACUUUGGGAUAACACCGGGAAACCGGUGCUAAUACCGAAUAUUGAAACAUAAGUGGCAUCACUGAGUUUUGAAAGAAUUUCGGUGGAGGAUGACUUCGCGGCCUGUCAGCUAGUUGGUGAGGUAAUGGCUCACCAAGGCAACGACGGGUAGCCGGCCUGAGAGGGCGACCGGCCACACUGGGACUGAGACACGGCCCAGACUCCUACGGGAGGCAGCAGUGGGGAAUAUUGGGCAAUGGAGGAAACUCUGACCCAGCGACGCCGCGUGCGG
rnacentral:rRNA from 1 species